UACAAACCGUGUGUGUGUGUGUGUGUGUGUGUGUGUGUGUGUGUGUGCAUAUGGAGAGCAGAGGACAGCCUUGGGUAUUGUUCCUGAGGCACUAUAGUCCUGCCCUAGAACUUGCCAGCUAGGCUGUGCUGGCCAGGUCCCAAGCCCCAGAGACCUAUCAUUCUCCACUUCUUCAGAGCUGAGAUUAUCACACAUAGGACCACAUCCACUUGGGAAUGGACCUCAGAUCUGGGUGUUUGUGAACAGGUACUUUACCAGCUGUGCCAUCUCAACAAUGUAAGUUUGGUUUUGAUUUCAGGGUUUUUUUGUUUGUUUGUUUUUGUUUCAUUAUUGUUGAUUUGAUAAGAAAGUGCAGAUUACCUUUUCCUUAAAAGAUAAUGAGGUGGGAUGAGGUGAGGACAUAGAUCGAAACUGGAAGAGAAAACAGAAAAUCAGGCACCCAGCUUUAUUGCUACAAAUGUCCACAGUGGGUGCAUAGGUCUAGUUUUGAACCUAGAUGGGCUGGUGUUGGCUUAGCAGUGUUUAUCCUGUCUGGCAUAACUAUCUCAUACAGCUGGUGUAAGGUCUACCACUGCCUCUGUACUCCCUUGAAUUGUACAUUGAAACCCACCCUAAUUCUCAUGAUUUUGCUCAUCUCACUGAAGGAAACUGGUUUGUCACUAGUUUACUGAGUGCCUGCUUUCUGCCUGCUUUGUUGCCACAUCUAGGUAUCAGAAGAUACCCAAAGAGAAGCAGCCCGGUUCUCAUAAUAUGUUAUAGCAUACUGAGAGAGAAAGCUAAGAAUUCUACUCUUGCAAAUAAUCCUGGAGUGAGAACAAAAUGCCAGGUGAACGCAACCACUGUAUCAUCUAAGACUGCCUUCCUUUGAUUCACCGAUCACCUUGCUGUCAUGUGUACGGGAACUUUUCAUCAGGUCAAAGGAUUUGGGCUUCAAAUUCUCCAUGCAGAGUGACUUGUUUUCAUUGACCUGGCUCCUCUGUCUGAAAGCCUGGAACACUUCUCAGCCAUAUGAAGGACUAGCAUUCAGCUGAGACAUUCUCACUGGCUUCUUCAGAAGAACAUUUUGUCGACUGUGAGAUUAAUUGAAACGAGACUCCUACAACAUCAAUUUUUCUAGACUCUUUCUUCUGAUAGAGUAAUAUUGUGAUAUCGCCUAUCUAAAACAAAACCAAACUAAAAUAAACUCAGUGUCUCAAAUAUAAGCA
rnacentral:lncRNA from 1 species